GACGAACCACACGAACGUUAUUCGGAAUUACUGGGCGUAAAGCGUGCGUAGACGGUUAUUUAAGUCGGGUGUGAAAGCCCCGGGCUCAACCUGGGAAUUGCAUUCGAGACUGAAUAGCUAGGGUACGGUAGAGGGAAGCGGAAUUUCCGGUGUAGCGGUGAAAUGCGUAGAUAUCGGAAGGAACAUCAGUGGCGAAAGCGGCUUCCUGGACCAGUACCGACGUUCAGGCACGAAAGCGUGGGGAGCAAACAGG
rnacentral:rRNA from 1 species